UACAGAGACCUCAAGCGUUACUCGGAUUCACUGGGCGUAAAGGGUGCGCAGGCGGUCGCGUGUGUCAGGUGUGAAAUCCCAGGGCUUAACUCUGGAACUGCGCCUGAAACUACGUGACUAGAGUCUUGGAGAGGUAAGCGGAAUUUCUGGUGUAGCGGUGAAAUGCGUAGAUAUCAGAAGGAACACCAAUGGCGAAGGCAGCCUGCUGGGCUUUAACUGACGCUGAGGCACGAAAGCAUGGGUAGCAAACAGG
rnacentral:rRNA from 1 species